GGACAUUCUAAGAGCUAGAUUACUGCUGACUAUUGAAGAGUCACCACCAUUCCUUCUUGUCUGGGAACAACAGCUCAACAGAUAAGAAAUGGAAAGUCAGGAUACAAGCUCCAUGGAGACAGGGAUUAUUUGUCUUUUUCACAAAUAGAAAAGUCCCUGCAAUGAACCAGGCACUUGACUAUUUACAGCUCUUUACUCUCAGGCUGAUGUGCUCACACAUGGGACCAUGAUGGAAAAGACAGGAGAAAUUCAAUGUGUCUGUGUUGAAAACUAAUACUUCUGGCAUUCACUUUCUAAACUCUCUAACUCUUUGCUACAUUUUAAAGCAUAUUUAUUGGAUUCAAACCAAAAGGACUCUCCGAGAAAAAUCCCUUAAUGCACGUGAGUGCUUUGUAAAUACACACUUCUGUGACAAUUACAGGUCUCUUAUGAUAGCACAUAAAACGGACUAAUUAAAU